rnacentral:rRNA from 1 species
AGGGUGUAAACGCUGCAGACUUGGUGUUGGGAACCCUUCGGGGGUGCUCAGUGCCGGAGAGAAGUUGUUAAGUCUGCUACUUGGGGAGUACGUCCGCAAGGAUGAAACUUAAAGGAAUUGGCGGGGGAGCACCACAACAGGUGGAGCCUGCGGUUUAAUUGGACUCAACGCCGGGAAGCUCACCGGAUAAGACAGCGGAAUGAUUGCCGGGCUGAAGACCCUGCAUGACCAGCUGAGAGGUGGUGCAUGGCGUAGUCGUGU